GUCCGUGACCGACAAGCUCAAGCAUCAUGUUUCUGCUCGUGAUAGAUCUAUCCAUAAUCCCAUAUUCUUGUACAUGAUGGGAUAUAUCCAUAAUAUUAUGUUUUUACCUACGAUGAAGCUAUCUAUAGUUUAAUGUGGCUAUCCAAACAUCUUUUUUUUUAAUCAUUAAUUUAUUAAAAUUUAUCCAUAUCAAGUAUAUAUAAUAUAAUAUUAUAUAUUUUUAAAAAUUUAAUGCAGCU
rnacentral:lncRNA from 1 species